rnacentral:sRNA from 1 species
UCAGUAAUAUCGCAGGACUCAUCUAAAG